CCUACGGGAGGCAGCAGUGGGGGAUAUUGGACAAUGGGGGGAACCCUGAUCCGGCGACGCCGCGUGAGUGAAGAAGUAUUUCGGUAUGUAAAGCUCUGUCAGUAGGGAAGAAAGAAAUGACGGUACUUGACCAAGAAGCCCCGGCUAACUACGUGCCAGCAGCCGCGGCAAUACGUAGGGUGCAAGCGUUAGCCGGAAUUACGGGGUGUAAAGGGAGCGUAGACGGUUAAGUAAGUCUGGAGUGAAAGGCCGGGGCCCAACCCCGGGACUGCUCUGGAAACUAUUGAACUUGAGUGCAGGGGAGGUAGGCGGAAUUCCUGGUGUAGCGGUGAAAUGCGUAGAUAUUAUGAGGAACACCGGUGGCGAAGGCGGCUUACUGGACUGUAACUGACGUUGAGGCUCGAAAGCGUGGGGAGCAAACAGGAUUAGAUACCCUAGUAGUC
rnacentral:rRNA from 1 species